AUGAUGCAAUCACUUAAGCUAGACUUGAAAAACUGUUUGCUUGGACAUGAUCAUACAUACCAUGUUAUUGGCAUUUCUCUCAUUUAUGAUGAUGACACUUAUUUUCCUCAUGCUAGACCUAUGCUUAAUGAAACAUCUCAUUCUCAUGCUAGUCUGGAGGUUAAUGAUUCACAUCAUCCUUAUGCUAGCAUGGAGCUUACUGAUUUAUACCAUCCUAAACAUGUGCUUUAUAGCUAUGCUUAUGUAAUUGGGUAUUCGAUUGGUGAUUUAGAGGGCAUCGACCCUGUCACUUGUAUUGUCUCUUUGGUGAGUUCUUUUUCAGGUUUUUGCAUGUGCACCAUUCAAUAUAUGCUGACCAGGUUCGAGGUGACAUUCCUUGGGACCCCGGUGGAUUCAGAGCAUGGUGAAGGGGGGAAGCAAUGGACACACGAAGAAGAGAGAAGCUGGAGCUUGCAAGUGGAAGCAAAAGGAGAAGAGCUGCAGUUCAAAGAGUGA
rnacentral:rRNA from 1 species